GAACAUUUGAAGGUAAGUGAAUGACGAUUCACUAAUUUCCACCAUGAAAAACGAAAAAGAAAUUUAAGUUUUAAAUCUAUGAAAACUCCUAGAUCCUUUGAGAUUCAUUGAACAUUUCAAUGGCAUGUUUAAAUCUCGAUAUGCCCCUCUAGUUUGUGACUGGGAUGCCGAGGAUCACAAAGCGGGUGUGAAUAACCAUGCAAACUUACAUGGUGCCCUCACAUGUUACAGUCACCUAUUCGAUGUGCCGGUAAACCACACACGCUCCAUCGAACUAUGACAAACAUUGAGUCACCCUUUGCUACCUUUGCUUAGAACCAUUUAGUGUGUCGGUAAACCACACACGCUCCACUAACGUAUUUGCAAGGGCACAAAGUGUAAUUUUAUGGAAUUGCAUCAAUUCACUUUUACCUAAGUAAUUAAGAUUGGGAAUUUUAUGAAACCAUUUAGUUACUUUUAUAUUAUACUUAUAAUGGAAGGUUUCUUCCUAUCCUACCCGUUCGGCUAACGACCCUCCACUAGUCAAGAGUGCCGUGGGUAAGAGUGGAUACCCAUUCAAUCGCCAUUUUAUAGGCAAUUUCCUUAAACACCCCUUAUAGACUAGCUUCGUGAAUGAGGCCUACUAACGGUAAGACUGACUUUUACUCAUACAUACUCUUGCCCCAAAAUGGACCAUUCUACCCCUCACAUACUCUUGCCCCAAAAUGGACUCUACUCAUAACUCAUGGCUUAAAAAGAUAAUUACUCCCAUAAGGCCCAAUAUAUGGCCCAAUUUCCAAUUGGGCCUAAUUAUUUCUCAUGGGCCUUAGCCCAUUGCCCUAAAAUAUUUCUUCAGCCCAUUAGCUCAAUUUUCAGGUGGUCCACCUCGGCCCAAGACACUAUUCCCUGGAAGUGGCCCAAACCAAGGCCCAAUAAUGAAGAACCCACUCUGACUGAGUAUGUAGGGUGUACUUAUCUGUACGCUAAGCGUAUAGGCUACAUGGCUUGUACGCCGUGUGUAUGGGAUUGUACGCUCAGCGUACUCCUCUAUUAAGCCAUAAUCUCAAAAAGUGCAUAACCCCUUAAGACCUAAAGCUCCAAACACAUAUCUGAGUCCAUUACAACAUCUUAACCCAUAAAGGUUGAUUACUUGGUGGCUGGAAAACCACCAAAUGGGUCCAAGCUUGGAAUAUGAGAAUCUACUUUUAUGAAAAUGGCCAAAACUCAUGCAUAAACUCUCCAAGACCUUCAAGAUGACAACUUUCUGACUUAGGGAAUCAAAUAGCACCAAGGGUGGCAACCCUAAGCCUAGGAAUCGAUUUUGAGCAACAAAGCUUCAUCCUUGGGACCAAAAAGGUCCAAAAACUAAACAUAAGAGAUCUAAGCACUCAUGGAUCAAGUUGAAGACUUUAUACCUUGAAAAGGUUUGAAAUGAAGCAAUAAUCCUAGAUCUACAACUUCUCCUUUGUACCACCACCUUUCUUUGACCUUUACUUCCUUGGAGAAUGGAUCCAAAACAUCAAAAUGCUCUUAAGAGGCUUUACAAGAACAAGAAGAAACAAAAUAUGGAUUAUGGUUUUGUGGGAGUAGCUUGAGGGUGAGAGGGAUGUUGGACUUUAAGGCAUAAUGUUCUUUAUAUAGGGAUCAAACCCUAAAUUUUGUGUUUUGGGGAUUACACACGUAUGCUGCGCGUACUCUUCAAUAUGUUAAGCGUACGUACAUGUCAUGUGCGAUCAACUUACAUCAGUACGUUGCGCGUACAUAGGGUGGUACACCCAGCGUACGACACCCAUUAAGCCCACUUUGCAAGGAACUAAUGGAUCCAUGCCCAAUCAAUAUAAUAUAAAUAAUCCAAUACAUAAAUAAUACCUUGGAGAAUUAUCGAGCAUUACAGUAGUGGUCGUAAGAAGCCCUAGUGGCAAAAUGGUAAUUUUGGGUGAAUGUGUGGUAGGCUAAGCGUACAUGUGAGUACACUAAGUGUACUAGUGUGUGCCCUAGUAUACUGGGCGUACUCUUGUCCGAAAGAAACCCUGAGUUUUAGGGUUUGUGGGUAUUUAAGCACCUUUAUGAUCAUUUAGCCUUAUCUUUUCAACCUCCAAGCCCUUGAGUCAUUUUUUGAAAACCCUAACCCCAUAAGAGAGUGUCUUGAGCUAAAAGUGUGUCCUUUGUGUGCUUAAUGAAGAAGGAGUUGCAUCAAGGAGAUUAGUAGUUGAAGCAAGCUUUUGGAUCUUGGAUCAUUACCUUCUUGGGAUGCUCUGGGAGAUAAAAAGUUGCUACCUUUAUGCUUAGUUUUCUUAGAUCUCAUUUUUCUAGUUUUAUGAUGUUCUUUUUGUCCCAAAAAUCCCAUUGUUAUGCAUGUAUGGUUUUGGUCGUUUUGGGUUGUCCUUUCAUACCCUAGGCAGGGUUCUAAGCCAUAAAAAUGAGGUCCCUUUAGCUAUUUUGGCUCCAUGCUUCUUGUAAAAGGUCUUAAUGGAUUCAUACCAUGUAUUAAGGACUUUUUGGACGUCUAAAGUCAUAAAGUUGGAGACUUUAUGACCCUAGAGUGCAUUUGGAUCAUGGAUCUGAAGUUUGGGCUUAAGUGAUUAAGCCAUUAAGAACUUAAGAAGAAAUUGAGACUUGUGAGGGUAUGCCCCAUGUAGAGAGGUGUACGCACCGCGUACCCAAUAUGCUCCCCCAAAUAUGAAUUUUGUGCAGCCUCGUGUACAAUGAGCGUACCUCCGGAGUAUGCCCCGCAUAUGCGAGAGUUUUGGGCCUCCUUGUUUUGGGCUUCGGUUUUGGAUUCGGAUUGUCUUGGGCCAUGUUGGGUCACCUGGAUUUUAUAUUUUGGGCUUUUGUAUUGUUGGAGUUUCUUGGGUAAAGGCUUACAAAAUGGAUUAGGCCUAAUUUGAAAAUUUGGGACAUAUUUGGGCCUUAGAUGUUUGUUUUGGAUUUUGGGCCUUUGGGCAUCUAGUUUGGGCCUUAGCUUUAGCCCACGCUUGAGAAGGGUAAAAAGGUCUUUUACCCUAAUUUGAACGCAUAACAUGGAUCAAGGGCUACAUGUUGAUGGGUUGUAUUUAUGGUAAUUGAUAGCGCGUGGAUAAUAGUGGAUCUGCAGUCAGAGAUUAUUUGUGGGAUCAGAUCUGAUGAGGUGUUGUAUUUAUAUUGGCGGUUCGGGGAUCUGGCAGCCAGCAGUGCGAGGUGAGUUUUCCUCACUGUAUUACGGGUCGAAGGCACAAAUUCCAACCCACUGGUUUGAUAUCCUGCUAUUCACUGAUAUUUUGAGUGUGGUAUAGAUAUGCAUGAUUAUGCUGGUUGCUGAUAUUUUAGUAUGGUAGACCUGUAGGACUACCUAUGAUUCUGUCUACCUGAUUGUUUGUAUAAAUUUGUCAUCUAUCAACAUAUUGUGUUGCGUUGAGGUUGUACUACUUCGUGCUAUAGCCAACAAACCUUGGAGCGUUCCAGAUACGAGCUGAGGGCCAGGUAGGGCAUGUCAGACUCAUACCAAGGGAUUAGUUGCAUUCCAGAUACGAGUUGAGGACCUGGUUGGUAUGUCAGACUCUUACUGAGGGCUUAAGAAUAUUGGAGUAGUCCAGAUAUGAAUUGAGGGUCAGUUAGGGCAUGCCAGACUCAAAUUGAGGGCUAAGUAGCAUUCCAGAUACGAGCUAUAGGCCGGUUGGUAUGCCAGACUUGUAUUGAGGUCUGAACAUUAGUAUUCUAGUCCUAUGACUGAUUGAGUUGGGAGAAAGAAAAUUAUAAGUUUUAGGCAUUAGGGGCAAGCCAGGCUUAUGAUGUGGGCUCAAGAGCAAGCCAGAUAUGAACUGUGGGCCUGAUAGGCAAGCCAGACUCAUACUAUGGGCUCAGGGGUAAUCCAGUCUUCUAGCUGUGGACCCAGUACAUGUUUUUGUUAUUUAUGUUCUAAUUGUUUGGGUGUUGGUACUUUGGGGGAACUCAUUAAGCUUUGUGCUUACAGUUUGUUUAUGGGUUCAGGUUCUUUAGAUGAUUCGUGGCAAGGCGAAGGUGUGACCGUACACAUACUCGGUUUUACAACAGAUUGGAUCUUAGGAGACUCUGAUUUUAAAUCAUGUUUUGGGAGAAAAUGUUUUUGUAAACACUUUUUUUAAUAAAUGGUUUGUUUUGAAAGGUUUAAAUUUUGUGAUGUUACAACCAUUAUGGCAUGCAAGCUAGGUUAGCUCAUCCCAGAUAGACCCUCAUUCGGAAGUCGCAUGGUGCGGAUGUGUGAAGCUAUUACUCUCAACAACCGGUUAGAAAUUCGGUCUAUUGGUUAUUUGGUAGGUAAGCAUGAGACCAGGGAGGUCUCGACAACAUCCAGAGUGUAAUUAUCGAGGAACAAGAUGAGCCAGAUGUGGUGCUAGUGACUGGGACUCGUGUUUGGAGUUGCUUGUUAUUUAGUGAAUAUGUUAAGUCACUUACUGUGUGGGUUAAAUAAUCUCAAAGUAAUUGGUUUGACCCUACUACGUAACUCUCGUCUGAGUCUAACCGUUGCGGGGAUGAGUCUUUUACUUGAAGGAUUAUCUAAUUCUUCUUUUAAGUGAAAAGUUUUUGGCAGUAAUGAAUGUCCAGUGAUUCUGUUUCCCAAUGGAAACAAACAGAAAAUCCAGCGGUUGGAAGAGUUAUGUUCCGUUUUGAAUUCGAAGUGGAGUUGAAAUGGCAGUGAUUUAGAGUGGAUUGUCUGUCGGGGAGACAAACACCAUUUUAGGAUUUCGAUUUUCAAGUAGAGUGGUGAUGGUUACUCUUCAGGGGAUAAUUUAAGUAGGGAAGGGAUUUGUUUAUAGUUAGGAUUUGAGAGCCCUGCUAUGGCUAGGUUCAGUUACAGUUUUGGAAUGUUGUUUUAUGCUUAAGUCGACUUCUCAAUUCGAAUUAGGGUUGUGGGAGUAUCGCCCUGGGUGUCUGGCAUUUCUGGAAGGUAAUAAGGAAUGAUUUCGAGGAUGAAAUCUAAUUUAAGUGGGGGAGAGUUGUAACACCCUGUUUUGAAUCGUUUCUUAAUUCAGAGCCGUGCCUCGAAGAUCAGUUUCAUAAGGCUUCAGGCCUUAGGGGAAGGAAAGAUCUAUGCCCUUUUGGAUGUAGGUAAUGUAGAUUAGGUGAUUCGAGAGUCCGUUUGGGGCUUUGGAGCCCAUGGGUAUAGCCGUAAAGUGAUAGUUCGGUCCUUUUAUGAAAUUUGGGUUUAAGUUCAUAAGUUUUAAGGCAAAGGAGAAUGGAUAGGAUUGUGGAGCUUCUUAUUACCUUUCCAUGGAUAUAAUGAUCGUCGAAAAUGGAGUUGGAACAAGGAAGUUAUGACCUAUUAAAGUUAGAAGAGUUUUGGGGCUUAGGCUAGUACGUGGGGCGUACUCCUUGAAUACACAGCGCGUAGUGGUGGUUUUGGUUGCGAGUAACUUUCGCGUACGUCGGGCGUACUUAGGAGUACGCAAGGCAUACUUCAGCCAACUAGAAACCCUAAUCUUUUGGGUUUCACCCCUAUUUAAGCUCAUUAUGUCCCUUGAGCCUUGCCUCUUAUUAGCGUCUAUACCUCCCAAACCCUAAUCUUGACACUUAGCCACCUUCUUAGUGUUCUUGAGCUCUUGUGAAAAAUCUUAGGGUUUUCUUGUGCAUUUUGAAGAGAUAGAAGGUUAUUGAAGAUUCAUCAAUUGGUGUGAAGCUUAGAGAUCUAGAGUUAUCACUUCUUUUGCAAUCUAUUGAAGCGUGGGGAUUUUCCGGAUCAAGAGUUUGAGCUUUUAUUUGAGAUAUUCAACAGCUAGAAGUGAGUCUCAUCAAUAUCUCUGUGGGUCGAAGGCACCAAUGUCGACCUAUUGGUUUAUGUAUUAUAGGAAUACCAGGGGUGGCCCAUGGAAUUUGUAUGAAAGACCCAAAGGCGGCUCUUGGCAAAUUAUAUGCAAGAUGGGGGAUCAGACCUUUGCAGGUAGAUAGAUAAAUAUAUGUAUAGAUAGUAUGCUAGUUGUCUUUGUGAUACUUGCAUGGAAGACCAUGAUAUGGCUCUUGACACUUGUCUGUAAGACCCAGGGUUUUGGCCCCCGACCUGGUAAGGAGAGACCAUGAUACGACUCGUGGCAUAAUGACAAGACUGUGGUUGGCACAUAGCAUUCUUUAUUGUAUGUACGGUAUAUGGUAUUUUGGGGAACUCACUAAGCUUUGUGCUUACGGUUAUUGUUUAUGGUUUCAGAUACUUCCAUUACAAAAGGGAAGAGCCCGACAUGACUACACUACGUCCACCUAUGUUUAUGUAACUUUAUGAUUUUAGGAUUUUACUUUGAUAACUGUUUCACCUUAAUGUACUUUUGAAUGAUUGGAUAUACUAAAUAGGGUCUUAUGGUUGAAUUAUAAAUGAAAUUUUUAUCUUAUAAUUUUUGGGAUGUCACAUAACUUCUUUUAAAAUAAUAUUUUUACACCUCUAUUAUUAUUAUUAUUAUUAUUAUUAUUAUUAUUAUUAUUACUGAUAGUGGAGGAUACCAACCGACUUGUCUUUAACAACCCAACUGAAGCAACCACAAAACCUAGACAUGUCGGGCAUAACAUAUGAUCUAGUUUAAACACCUUAUGGGGAAAGAGAAAUGGCCAAUGAUCAUCCUUUAAUUCAAAUCCUCUUAGGACUCGAAGUCAUGACUUUGUACAGGGAGAAAAGAAAAGCAUCACCAUAAGCAAGAAAUGUCACUUUCUUUAUCAAGCAAGCCCUCACCAUUAUUGUUAUUAUUUAUAAGGUAAUAUAAGGUAAUUAAACCUGAACAAUUAUACAAUAUUUGUCUUAUUUAACACACCUGGGAUUAUUUAGUACUAUGUUCAAUGAAGCAAUAAGAACGUAUACAAUCUCGCGGACCAAGGACAAUAUUGAAACAAAACUCAAAACAAAGAAAUAGAAUUUCUUACCGACCGACAAAGAAAAUUCCUAUAAUUGAUUCUAUAAUUAUUAUUAAAUAGAAAUCGACAACAAAAAAAUGAGAUUAUGAUACUAUCUGGAUUAAUUGUUAUUUUAUCUAAACCAAAACGAUUAUUUGACAACAAACAUAUAAUUAAGCGUUAAACAUUAAUGUUGAAAAUAAAAUCUUCAAAUUUAAUUUUUAAGUUGAGAUCCAAAUCCAUACAACGACUUUUGUGAGUAACCAAUCUCAUCCUUGGAUCUUGAACCCCCCGCGUGCCGACCACUAAUCGAAUGCCAUACUAAAUUACUAAUUAAUGCACACGUACGAAAACUUUUUUUGUUUUUUUUUUAAAUUUUAAAACUGAUAAUAUAAUAUUUUUAUUUUAUUCUUUAAAUUAUAUUUAUAAAUUUAAUUAUUUACUAUUUUAUAUAGCUAAUUUAAUUUUAUUACCUAUAUAUUUAUAUAAAAAGUAAUAUAAAAAUGCUUCUAUCAAAAUGUUCAGAACGGCAGAAGCUAAAUUGGACUACAUUUGAUAUUGUAGAUUUCAUUUUAUUUUUAUAGGUUUAAGUUCNNNNNNNNNNNNNNNNNNNNNNNNNNNNNNNNNUAUAUAUAUAUAUAUAUAUAUAGACACACACACUAGUCGUUUACCUGCACUAAGUGACGGGUGCGAAUAACUUUUUCAGAAAUUAGAGACAAUUAAUUUUUUUGCACAUAUAGUUUAUACGUCUAAAUAAUUAUCAAUAACAGUAGAGAUAUUCGGUUUUUGGGUAAUUCGGUUCGAGUGCAAUUAAUUCUUGUACAUAUUGCAGUAUUGAAAUGAUGACUAAGACCGGUCUUAGUCUCGUAUGUGAUUCACAUGAAGUGUAUGUGAUAGAGGAAGAGCGAUGAUGGUUCAGUGCUCCAACAACAAUGAUAGUGGAUGGUGGUGAUCGAGGUGGUAAUUAUGGUGUGUGAGUGUAAUGUUUAGAUCUAGGUAGUUUAAGGUUAGAGAGGUGGCAGUGGGUAGUUGAAGGCGUUGACAACGACAGUUUAGGGUUAGAUGGAUAAUGUGAUUGUACCAUAUUAGUGACGGUUGUGGCAAGGAUGACUAUGAGAAAGGAAAAUAUAGAAUGAGAGAAAGGAGUGGCUGAUAGUAGUCAACGAUUGUGGUGGUUAUGGCAGAGCUGGAGCGGUUAUGAGCAACUAUGGUGGUGGCGAUGAAAUGGGGAGAAUUAGUGUUAUAUAUAGAGGAAGAGGAUAAAUUUAUGGUCAAUUUGGUUAGCAUUGUUGACUAGUUCCUUUUGUUGAAUAAAUUUAUUUUUGGAAAAAAAUAUCAUUUUGAAAAUGACACACAAUUGACAAGUAUCAUUUACGGUCAUAUGGGUCAUAUUUGUGUUAUGUGACAACUACAACGAGCAAAGUAGAUGAGAGGGAACUGAAAGAAGGAUUGGUCCUUUAGCUAUUCGAUUGAACGCUUAAGUUUUUAUGUAAUUUGUAGCCCAAACUAUGAUUCUUUUCAUGUAUUUCUAAGUUCUUUAAGUUCAAACCAUGUUGGUUUAUGUAUUGCAAGUAUUUUCUUGGUUUUAUGUAUUGAAAAUAUUUUCUUGAAGGUGCUUUGAAUACUAUAAUUUCUAUUAUUUCACAUUCCACGUUGAUGUUUUUAUGUAAUUAGUAGCUCAAACUAAGCUUCCUUUAAUGUAUUUCUAAGUUCAAACAAUGUUAGAAUUAUGUAUUAAUCUUGGUAUGAUUAAACUUGUGUAAAAAAUAAAAAAUGAAUUAUUACUUUUAUGUUAUGCACCUAAAUAUAAGAAAAUGAUAUGUUAUCAUGAAAAAACAAUAAGAAACUACUAUUGGACAAUUAACCGAAUACCACCUUAAAUCUAAUAGUUUGAAUGAUUUUAGUGAAGAUGUAUAUAUAGUUAAAACUUAACCAAUCAACUUCCAUGGUGAAUUCCGUUGGUAUAAUUUUUUGAACCUUAAAGAAAAAGNNNNNNNNNNNNNNNNNNNNNNNNNNNNNNNNNNNNNNNNNNNNNNNNNNNNNNNNNNNNNNNNNNNNNNNNNNNNNNNNNNNNNNNNNNNNNNNNNNNNNNNNNNNNNNNNNNNNNNNNNNNNNNNNNNNNNNNNNNNNNNNNNNNNNNNNNNNNNNNNNNNNNNNNNNNNNNNNNNNNNNNNNNNNNNNNNNNNNNNNNNNNNNNNNNNNNNNNNNNNNNNNNNNNNNNNNNNNNNNNNNNNNNNNNNNNNNNNNNNNNNNNNNNNNNNNNNNNNNNNNNNNNNNNNNNNNNNNNNNNNNNNNNNNNNNNNNNNNNNNNNNNNNNNNNNNNNNNNNNNNNNNNNNNNNNNNNNNNNNNNNNNNNNNNNNNNNNNNNNNNNNNNNNNNNNNNNNNNNNNNNNNNNNNNNNNNNNNNNNNNNNNNNNNNNNNNNNNNNNNNNNNNNNNNNNNNNNNNNNNNNNNNNNNNNNNNNNNNNNNNNNNNNNNNNNNNNNNNNNNNNNNNNNNNNNNNNNNNNNNNNNNNNNNNNNNNNNNNNNNNNNNNNNNNNNNNNNNNNNGUAUUUUGUUUUCCCAAUAAAAUUUUGCUUAUUAAAUUAGAGAACCCUGAUGAAGAUAUGCGAUCUGCAAAACAAAAUAAAUGCUAUUAAAAAGAAAUAAAAUUCCAUUUAGAAGUUGGAGACAUAUUUUUGGAAACGGAAAAUAACCAUAUGAAUGCAGCAAAACACAUAAAAUAAGCAAAUUAAAAUGAGUAAAUACAAGAAAUUGCAACAUGCUUUAAAUUAUUUGAAUCGAGUUUACCAUCUUGAUUAGAAUUCCAAAUGGUAGAAACAAAGCUAUGGUCAACUUACCUCACUGGUAUGAAAUAAAAGUAAAAUACUAGAACACACAUAUAAAUAAAAGUACAUUUCCUUUUCAUGCAUGUUUUAAAAAGAAAGGAACAUAAGAUGAUGUAAAAAGAAAUAAACAAAAUUAAACCCAAUAAUAUAUCAAUAAUUGUAUUGCCAUUUCUAGGCUAGAAUAUUGGGUAAUAUUUGAUGUUGAUAACUUAAAUAAUAUUUUGUAAGAAUGCAUGAUCAACCAUAAUGGGGCAAUAGGUGGGCUUAACAAUCAUGGUAAGAAUACGUCCAAUUGGGUGGAUGUAAAAAAUAUGACGUAACUUAUCCAUAAUAAACACCUUCUUGAGUUCCUACACGAACAAUUACCCAAUCAUUAACGAAUUUGAAGAUGUUCUUAACUUUUAGUCAACAAUAGAGUUCAUAGCUACCCAACUAUUGGCACCUCCUCAAUCACACAUUCCACAAGCCAAGCACCUUCCACUAGUGAAUAUUGUUUCUCAGCCUUUUUCACCAGUAUCUGUCUAAUUAUCAAAGAUUAUUGUUGUAUCAAAUAUUGAUCAACUCAACUCAGUACACAUUAUAUACCACUUCAUAGCAGGCGAUAACAUCUAUGUAAAUUUUCAGGAAAAUAUUUGAGUCAAAAACGAAUAUGAGUGAGGUGCAAUAACAUCUUAGGGACCCAACAAUGACUAUUUCUAUAGGAACAAAAGAAAUGGAAAAAUAGUUGGUUAUAUUGAAAAUAUAUGAAAAGUAUGAAAGUUAUAUCAAAAUGACCUUACCUUUUUUUAGUCUCCGCUCCAAACUUGGUAUGAUUCUUCAUACAUUUGUAUCCGUUUUCUUGUAACUACUAAAUACUAAACAAACGGAAGUAGCUAAUGAAAGAAAUCUAGUUGAAGUGUCUAGUUCACCAUUUGCACAUGUAGAACUGUUAAAGGGUGAAUAGUUCUUGAGUAUCUCAAGACCACCAUUUUCCCUAAUUGUUUAGCUUCCUAAAAGAAAAGGAAACAAAGAACGUGAGUAGUUCCUACCAAAGUUGAAAUCUUAUUCAAGAUCAAGGGAUGUUUUAAAAAACAUCUUCACUUACCUUACCAUUACAAGGUCCCUUUUUAUCAACCAUUAUUUCUAAAUCGUCAAUGCUCUAUGGUAAGUUUAGUGGCUAUGGAAGCAACUUCUUCAUGAACCCCUUCUAACCAAUUGCUUACAUUUAUAUUUUUCGUUUUAUCCUACACAAAAAAAGCUUUAUAAGACCGAUUCCAUCACUAUAAACCAACAGACAAAAAAGAUUGUAAAGGGAAUAUAACCCACAUAAUGAAAACCUAAUAUUACUAAAAAUAAACCAUCAAGUGUAUUUUUCUGUUUAGUAAGCAGACAAACAAAAGAAAAGCACAUAAAAAUGCAAUAAUGUACUUAAUUAUUUCUAAUAAACAAAAAAGUACAUCCCUUGUUAUUCUCUUGUCUCAAGUUUGUGCUUUAUACCUCAGAUUAUGGGAAUAUUUAGGUCAAGAAUGCUUACCUAUAAUUGAAAACAUAAGAGUGGGAGAAUUCGUGGUUUUGAAAAAAAUCGACAACCAUUACAACACACGUUCAUUGAGGUUUGUUACAGGUUGCAGAUCCAAAUCCUAAAACACACACACACACACACACACACACACACAUAUAUAUAUAUAUAUAUAUAUAUAUAAUUCGAAGAAACAUAGUACCAUAUGAAACACUAGAAUCUGAAACACACAAACAGUUGAAAAAACACCAAAACCCAUAACUCAACAGAUCCAAAAAAUAAUUAGGUUAGAACUCUAAUCAACUCGACUUCAAGAUUCAUCAAUUAUUCUUUGAUUGUACGUCUAAUUCUGGUUUCCCACCAGGGAUCUGUUCAGAGAGCUAAUGGUGGUGGUGAGGAUGGGGUUGUUGUUGGGGGUAACGGUGACCAUGAAUGGUGGUGGCGAGGAUAGUGAAUGAUGCAUAGGUCCUGAUGGUAGGAUAGUGGUUGUUGAUAUGUGCAUAUUUACAUAUAUAUUUGACAUCAUAUCUUAAUAUUAUUAGCUAUAUUUAUGAUUAUUAUAGGAAAAAAAGUACUUAUUAUGUUUAAUAUCUGUUAUGAAGCAUAAAAUACAUUCUCGGAAGCAAUAUGGAAGCUGGAAGCUGGAAUGUAGAGCUUAGGCAAGAAUAAGACACAAGAAGGAUGUUGUUGGACAGCUUGACCCCUUGUCAGUAUUUUGGCCAUAUCUCAUGACUUGUAACUCCGAUUGACGUGAUUCAAAAUGAUCUGAAAACUAGACACAAUUUUAGACAAAUUUCAUGUUUUGAGAAAAUUCCGAUUUUUGAUAACCACUACGUGGUGAUACCACCACGACAUGGUGAAUGGAAUUUUCGCGAUUCUUCACGUUGGCUUGGGAAAUACGGGAUAAACACGAGGACCACGACGUGGUGCCUUUACCAUAUUGUGGUGGCUAGAUUUUAGGAAAGUAUAUAUAUCUGAACAUUAUGACGAAUUGGGGGACUUGGAGGUGACUUUCUGGAGAAGUAUUGUGACAAAAACCCUUCUAUGAACCCUGUGGGGUCGAUUUUGAAGCUAGGAAGUCAAUUGGAGAAAGGAUUUGCAUCUACACAUUCGAUUUUCUUAGUUUAAUGAUGUUUAGCUUAGUUUACCUUUUGUUUAUGUGUUCAUCAGUUGUGAUUAUGGGAUAAAACAUUUUCAUUCGUUUAGAUUAGAUGAACUCCUGAAUACUAUGUGUUGAUUUCUUGUUUUAUGGAUUGAUGAAGUUGGUUUUUGCUUUAAAUGUUGUUUGAUAAAUCUAAACCUAGAUUGUUAAAGUUUCUAUCUUUAUUUCCUUGUCUCAAGUUUUGUGUAGUUAAACUGCAGUUAGUUGCAUGAACUUGGUUUACCUAGUUGUUUAUGACCAUUAAAUUGCUAGAGCUAGAUAUUGAUCAUAUCUUAGUAUAGGUGAUAAGUUAGUUGCUUAGCUGUGUUUGAGAGCAGUAUUUGAUCAUAAUAUUUGCUCGAUUACUAGACUGAGAAAAGAACAGUAGUCUGUAGAUUAUAUCAUUCAUAGUUCAAAUUACCUUUAAAAUCAAUGUAGUGUCCUUAACUUUCAUGAUCAUUGGGGUUAAAGUUGUUAAAUUGACUUAUGCUAGUUAGUUUGACCAUGAUGACUAGUAACAAUUAUUUGGUAGCUAGCCGAAUUAAUCUAUUGUCUUGAAAUCAACCAUAGGAAACAGGAGGGAUUCGAAGGUAAAUGAAAGUAUCCAUUAUUCUUGAUUUGAAAUCGCCUUUCUAGUUGUUUGCUUUAGUAAUUAGUUUGUUAUUUUAAUUUAAGUUUUUCUGAACUUGUAAAAUCAUAUAAAACCCCCCAUUUUAGUUGUUUUUCUUAGUUUAGCUUUUAGUAGUUAUUUUAUUAAUUAAAUACCGUUCCCUGUGAUCGACACCCGACUUACCUAAACUAUUCUAUAAUUCGACUACGUACACUGCCUAUGUGUAUUUAGCUAGUUAAGUUCGUUAGGUUAUAAAUUCAAAACUAGAUAGUGGGUAGUUUUUAGCACAUCAGGUUUUUGGCAAUGUUGCUGGGGAAUGACUGAUUUGAUUAUUAGUUUAAUUGCUUUUAGUUAUUUGAUCCUUUUGUAGGGUAAAACCCACAAAAAGUUACUUCAGUUUCAUUUGUUUUUUUAGUUUUUUUCUCUGAAAUGCAACCACGACGUGGUUAUCUUCACCAUGUCGUGGUCUCACUUUAGUUAGUUUUUCAUUUUUUUGUUCCUUUUUACGCGUGUGUUUUCUAGUUUUUUUAGCAGGAAAUAUGGGGGACAUCAUGACUAUGUCAAUGAAAGAGUACAAGCGACAUAUGAGGAAUGAAAACAGAUGGGGUCUUGAUCCACCAAAAAUACCAACCACGACAAAGUUUGAACUUCCGGGGCACAUUAUUAAUAUGUUAAGGGAACUACCUUUUUAUGGGAAGGAGCACGAGGACGCUUAUGAACAUAUAGAAGAGGUGGUGGAGAUUUCACAUUAUUUUAAUGCUCCUAACGUGAGUAAAGAUGCGGUGAUGCUUGGAAUUUUACCGGUCAUAUUGAAGGGUGAAGCAAAAGAAUGGUUAAAAUCAUUUCACUUUGGAGCAAUCAUAACAUGGGCUGAUUUUAAGACCGAGCUCAUCAACUAGUUUACCCCUCCUUCAAAAGUGGCAAAGCUUAAGAGAAAUAUCCAUAACUUUCAAUAAUUAGAAGGGGAGUCGUUAUACGAAGCUUAGGAAUGUUACAAGAGAUUGUUACGACAUUGCCCUCAACAUGACUUCCAUUUGCAACAAGAAAUCUCGAUAUUUUAUGAUGGAUUCAAUGUGUGCACUCGUCAACUUCUAGACUCACAAGGGCCCAUGACAAAGAAGAAUCUGGCAACAAAUAAAGCUUUGAUUGAAGAAUUCUCAAAGCAUUCAAGAGAGUAUCACAACUCAAAGGAGGAUUUCACUAGAGGAAAUUCAAGUAAAGAUGGAGGUCAAGAUGCUAUUAGUGCAGUUAUUGCAAAGCUCGAUGCAAUGGAAGAAAAGAUCACAAAAUUGGGUGGACCAAUUCAAGAUAGAUGUGGAGCUUGUGGAGGACCCCAUUCUACUAUGGAUUGUGAUUUGGAGUACAAGAGAACUCAAGACACGACAAAAUAUCAACACCUAGAGCAUAAUCUCUACCAACUAGAACGAGUCCAAUCCGAGAAGAUAAAUGCUCUCGAGUCGAUGCUAUUCAGAUUCAUGGAAGCUAGCGACAAAAGACAUGAUGCAACUGAUGCAACACUUAGAGUUCAACAAGCAUCUAUUUUGAGCAUUCCAUACAGGUUGGGAAAUUAACAAAACUUUUACAAGAAAAGCUAUCAGAUUUACUUUCAAGAAAAGUCAAGUCAAUCCCUAUGGAUCAAGUCAUGGCUAUUGAUAUAUAAGAAGAAGAUGAAUUGGAGCAUAUGAAGGACCUUGAAUAGGAGUCUAAUUAGUCACUUGAAGUAAAAAGGGAAAAAGAAGAAGAGUAUUUUGAAGCUUCCCAGUCACAACGAAGUGGAGACAAUAGUGUCACGUCGUGGGCAAUAAAAGAACAUUAUGAUUUCUCAGUUGUUGAGCCAUAUUGACCACCUAUUCCUUUCCCAUCCCGUGCCAAUGCAAAUUUGGUGAAACAAGAAAACAUGAAGUUCCUUAAGCAUGAUGAAUUUGAAUGCACGAAGGAAGAAGAGUGGGAGGAAUGGGAGGAGCCUUUACCAAAAGAGCAAUUGGAAAAAGAAGUGAAUUAUUCAAAACCUCCAAUGUCAACCCCAAUGAUGUUUGAGGUGUUUACUUUUACAAGACCACCAAAUCCAGUAACAGAGGCGAUUGAAGAAAAAGAAGUAGAUAGUGAUGAGUCUCAUUUUGAAAAGAAAAACUCGGAAAGAGACAAGACAAAAGCUAAAGACACGAGAAUGAGGAAAGAACCCAAGGGAAACAUAAAGAAGAUGUCAACCCAAUAAUGCAAGAAAGUUAAACAAAGGCAUUCAAUAGAAGGGUUGCUUACAAACGGGUAAGGUUCAAGACGAUGGAGAACAGGGAGGUUACACUUCCACCCGACGCAACGUAGAGUGGGAAGGAGUCCCGCUCACGACUUCUCAAAAAGAAGCACUUGUUGGGAGAUAACUUAUGAGUUUGCAUUUUAGUUUCCUUUUGAUUUGUUUUAGUUUUAAAUUUUUGACUUUUAGUUUUUUUUUAGUUUAACCGAAUGAUGAUGUGUUUCUCUAGUUCUUGAUCUUAUUUUGUAGUGAAGAAAGAAGUGAAGCAGUGAAAGAGCUUAAUAUGAAGAAACCGUGUGAUUUUUGAAGAUCAUAAUUGAAGAACAAGUUUUUGAAUAAAUGUGGGGUUCCCAUAUAAUGAAUAGAAAAUCAUUUAGAAGCAUAUUUACUGAAAAGAAGAGUGGGAAUGGUCUUACACAUUACAAAGAUUCAAUGCCCACCUGUUUUAAUCUAAGAAGAUUCUUGUAACACCCCAAAUCAGGUAUUACUCUUUAGAACCUUGAAAUAGAAAAGAUGGCAUAAAAGGUCCCUUAGUACGCGGGGCGUACUCCAGAAGUAUGCUUAGCGUACUAAGGGUGCAUGAACGCGGAAGGUGGCCGCGUAUGCAGGGCGUACAUAUAGGUACGCGGGGCGUAUGUGACAGAGGGCCAAAACCCUAAUUCUCGGAAUUGACACCUAUUUAAACAACCUUAAGCCUCUUGGACCAAACCCUAAUUAGCCUACAUAGCCUCAUUUCGCCCUUUUACACCAAAUAUCCCUUGUAAGAGUGUUUUUGAGAUUAAGGAGUUUAUUUGUGGCCAUUUUAGAGUUAAUUCAAGAAGAAGGAAUUGCUAAGAAAGCUUGGAGUGGCAUUGGGCUUCAAGAAUCUGCAUCUAGUUCACCUUGAAGAGCUUUUGGAGGUAUAAAGCUUUGAUCUUGUCAUCUUAUUCAUUAGAUCUAGCUAGGGUUUUCUAUAUUGUCCCUUUAGCUGGUUUUGGACCUUCUCUUGAGAGUUAAGCAACUCCAGAGACUGAAAUGGUUAGAUCUGAGUUUUAUGAGCAUGCUAGAUGCAUAAAGGAGCUAGCUUGAAGAGUAUCUAGACUCCAUGCAUGAGUUUGAAGCUUUAUAUGAAGUCCUAAUGUGAAUAAUUAAGUUUUUAAGUCCUAUAUAGCAUGCAAGGGGAAAAUUUUGCCAAAUUUAUGCCCCAUGACGUCUUAAUGAGCUAAGAUCUAAUAUUAGACAUUAGAACAUCGAGUAUUAAGCACUUAAUGGAAGAAGCUGCUUAAUAUGUUUGUACGUUGGGCGUAACUUAGAGUACACAUCGCAUACAACUCAGGGACUUAGUACGUUGCACGUACCAGGGUGGUACGCAAGGCGUACGCACCUCAGAUGGGCUCAAACUUGUUUUGCACUUGUAAUCCAUUUGGGCCUUAAUCAAACUUUGGGCCUGGUCACCUUUUGAGUUAGUUGGCCAACUUAUUUGUUUUGGGCCAUGGUUACUAUGGUUGGGCUUUAUUGGGCCAUGAAACCCAUUAAUGAUUUUGGACAUGGACUUUGGGCCCAUUAGCAAAGGAAGACUUUUUGGGCCAUUGUGAAAGGACUUGGGGUUUGGGUUCUUUAAUUGGAUUAUGUUCAGCCCUAACCUAGGGUAAUGGUAUUAUUGUUCAACACGGGUGUUCACAGACUGUUAGGAGAGCAACUUUCAGAUUCAGCAGAUAGAGGUGAGUCUCCUCACCAUACCAAUGGGUCUAAAGCACCAAGGCCGACCCAUUUUAUGAUAUGUGGUAUACUAGCUGAAGUUAUAUUAUGUUUCAUGAUAGCUGGUUAUGUGUUAGGAAGUAUGCUAGCUAUAUAUGUGGUAUGCUUGUAUGGAAGACCAUGGGAGAGCCCAUGGCACCUGGAUGUAAGACCAUGUGGAGAGCCCAUGGCACCCGGAUGUAAGACCAUGUGGAGAGCCCAUGGCUUUCUUAUUAACGACCAUGGGAGAGCCCAUGGAACUUCGGUGUAAGACCAUGUGGGGAGCCCAUGGCAUCUUGGAGUAAGACCCUGGGGACGAGACCACGACAUCCCUAUAUGUUGUAUGCAUGGCUUAUAUGGUUUAUGUAGCUUUUAUAGCUACUAUGAAUUAUAUGAUUAUGUGGAUUGUGUGUGGUAUGCUCUGGGGAACUCACUAAGCAUUAGCUUACAAUUUAUUGAUUUGUUUGAGGUACUUCUGAGCCUAAGGGAAAGGGCAAGUCUUGAUGGCACGACAUGCACCCUCUCCGUUAUUUGAUUUGAUGGGACACUUUAAUGUUUGAAAUAAAAAGUUAAUGUUAUGAAUUUUGAAAACAAUAGUCAUUUUUACUUCAUAUUUUAUGGGAAUGUUUGAUUAAUUAAAAAUGAAAAUUUUUCUUUUGAAAAUUGGGUCGUUACAAGCUAGUAUUAGAGCCUUGGUUUGAUGGACUCGGACACACUCUCGGGUGUGUCAGGACUCAAACCAAGGAAAUGGUAAAAUUGUUUUAAAAAAUAAAAGUUCAAAACUUCUUAAAUUGGAAACGAAGAGAGUCCAAUGCACGUGAUCGACCAAUCCAAGUAAGUAGUUCCCCAUUAUGUUAGCCAUGUUAUACUGAUAUUUGAGUUAUGAUAAUCGUAUGAAUCUUGCUACGUGUAUGCUUUCUAAAUUGUAUACGGUUAGGAUCUUAGGGUAGAGUCUGUUAUUCGAAAGUCUAUUUGAUCCUGUUUUGUGUAUAAUUUGCAUGCAUAAUGCAACCCGUUAUGGCUGAGUUCUAGUUUGAUAUGGAUAGAGUAAAUCAUAGGAUAGCCUAACAUUUGAGCUCUGCGGUAUCCUGUGAGGCAUGACUUGUUCUGGGACGAAUUAGAGUUAUCUUGUAGAGCCUUAGGGAAGGUACAGGUAUGUGUGGAAGGUAGUAUUGGGCCCGUACUACUAGAAGCACAUGACAUGUACCUGAACCAAUGUUAAAUUUGGAAGCUCCAAGGAGAACUGGUGUGGAAGGACCCCCUUUUUGGAUAUCCUGAUCAUUAUGUUUUAUGGUAUUGCAGUAUAGUAUGGUGGUGAGAUGACAUGGAGCUGGGGGAUCAUGAUCAGGAUCUGGGGCUAGGUCAGGCGACAGUACCGAGUCCAUUGACGAGAGGCUGCGCGAGCAUAUCACAGUCGAGGUUAUGAUGGGCAUCAUUGAUGCUACCCCAGUGAUUUUUGGGACAGUCAAGGAACGGAUGAUGGAGAUUAUGGAGGAGAGGCUUAGGGCAUUCAGAGCCGAGAUUACUAUGAGCCAGGUCAGGGCCCGAACUCCCUCGUUCCGGGAGUUCAAGCCAUGUGGGGUGCCGGAGUUCUUCGGGGUCAGGGACCCCCUAAGUUAGCCGACGCUGGGUGGCGGACAUAGAGAACGCCCAACACACGAGUUCUUGCCUUGCUGCGGCCAAGGUGGGUUUUGCUUCGUGUAUGCUGAGGCAUCGAGCCCGGGAUUGGUGGGGUAAGGUGACUAGCCAGGUGGGAGCAGCCGGUGUGGCUAAGAUAACAUGGGCAAAGUUUGUCAAGCGUUUCGAUUUAGAGUUUGCACCACCCAUUAAGUUGUAACGUCUAGUGAGGGAGUUUCAUAAGCUCCAGCAGACCACUGAGAUUGUGAUGGAGAUCACUGCCAAGUUUUGAGAGCGAGCACUGUUGAUCCCACAAUAUGCUACAAACGAGUAUAUGACUUAUCAUUCUGAUGGGUUUUAGCCAUAAGAACAUCCUAUGUGCUCAUACAAACCCUAAUGCUUGGAUUUAGGUUUCUCUAUUGUACAUGCAAUUCAUCCAAGACUAUAAACCCUAGAUCUAGUACAUUAUAAUCAAUAUAAUAUAUGAAUUAGGGUUUAGAUCAUACCUUGAUUGUUAUGUAGCAAUAACAAUCUCAAAUUCUCCUUGUAAUGACUUUAGAAAACUUAGAGUCACAAAUGUCACUCCUCUAAUGGUUCACAAACACCAAGAGUAAGAGGAUGAAGAGGAGAAGAGAAGGAGGCUGCCCAAAACGUGUGGAAACCCUAACCAAUUAGUUCACCACGUUUUUGAGGCUUAAGGGUUCUUUAAAUAGUGAGGCUAUUAGGGGUAUCUAACAAGGAAACCCUAAUUUGGAUGCUUAGGCCCUAAGCAACCCAUGAACCCCCUUUCUUAAAGGCCUUUGGACGAUUUCUAAUGGGUUUCCCCAUAGAAUUCGUCCACCCCUUUAAUAUGGAGUCUAUUAGCCCAAUAUUCAACUAUCACACAAUGGACAGUUCUAGUCCCUUAAGUUUAAUUAAUGCCUUUUAGCCACAAACUUAAUUCUUAUUAAUUUUUGACUAAUAUUAAUUAAACAAUAUGAUUUCUCCCUUAAUAUAUUAUUCUCAUAAUAUAUUAAUAAAUCAUAAUUAAUCCUUUCUCUCAGUAAUUCAUCCUAUCAAGUUGCUUUGGUGAAGGCAACCCAAAAGGACCAUGCACCAUCGGGUCAAGUACAUACCAAAAUAGUUAUGGACUUAGACACUAAUCCAACACUCUCCCACUUGGAUAAGUCUAAUAACUAUUAUGCGUAUGACUUCAGAUCCUGAUCUGCAAUCGUAGCUUUCCAAAGCCGCUGUCAACUCUGAUCAUAUCAGAUACGCGUGUNNNNNNNNNNNNNNNNNNNNNNNNNNNNNNNNNNNNNNNNNNNNNNNNNNNNNNNNNNNNNNNNNNNNNNNNNNNNNNNNNNNNNNNNNNNNNNNNNNNNNNNNNNNNNNNNNNNNNNNNNNNNNNNNNNNNNNNNNNNNNNNNNNNNNNNNNNNNNNNNNNNNNNNNNNNNNNNAUAUCGCUUUUAUCCUACUUUGGAUAAAAGGAACGGAUAAACUUUGACUCAAUGCUCGCUUGCACUCACUCACCAAAUCACACACAACAAUAUGUUUUAUAACACCAAGUUACUGGUGCGUUUACAUAUUAUCAAUGUGCAACCAACUCGCAAGAUACAACUCCCACAUCUUGGUUUCAAGAAUAUAAGAUGUUAUCGUCUCACCAAUCACUUGUGAUGAAAUCCAUGAAGUGAUCCAAGUGAGCGUGGGUUUAAUCCAAUGCUCAAAUCAUAUUCAUAAGCACUCAUUCUUAAUAGAAUCUAGACAUAGAUUCUUAAUAUCUGACUCCCAAUAUGGAAACCUUUCCAUACUUACCAUAUGACUACUCAUUCUUAAUAGAAUCUUAUCUAUUCAUAAUAAUGUCGAUAUGGUCCAUCCAAUACUAUACUUCCAACUACUCACAAGCGACCAAUCCUCGGCGAACUUUGGAUUGUCCUUUGAUAGUUGUUUAAUUAUCUUAGUCAAAACCGAUUCUUGUCCUUUUUCCCUCUAAAUGCGCUAGACAUUUGGAAAAUUUUAGAAUGGUCAAAUAUUAUAGCAUUUGCAAUCGAUCCUAUACCCGAAGCGUAUGGGACACGAUGCAUAAUGUCUUACAUAAAGAUUUGAUACUUUAUCAAUCUUCUGCCAUAAUAUUUUAUGUGCUACGUUCUCAAAAUUCGAACUAUGAAGAGGAAUGCCAUAAUCAUAAUCGAAAUUUGAGAACACACUAUGUAUCCUUGACUAAAUUUAUUAACAUUCCACAACCUAAGCCUUUAGAUUUGAAAUGAAGCAUAAUAUUCUCUCCCUUAAUUAUAGCAAAACAACUAUUCAACCCUUACAACUUUGCAAAGUAUGACUCUUGUUUUCUAUAAUUAAUAUUGCUAACUUGCAAUACUUGCCUUAAUAAUCAUACAAUCAUAACAUUUAUGCUCCCACUAUCACGAUGAUUAUUAUAAACAUAACACUUAUGCUCCCACUAGCUUUGACAUGUAUUCAGAAACAGCUUAACUUUCAGAAAAACAAUGCCUUCUGAAUUUCUUUAAGUUCAUAUUUCUAAUACCCAAUGCUUUGAUAAUCUGUUAUCAAGGCUUUAUAAAUUUAUACACCUUUGCCUUAGAUAGUUCAUGUGUGUGUCUUAAACAAUUCAGACUAAUUGCCAGAUCUCACAAUUCAAAUCAUGGAAAGGGAUACCGUAACCAUAAUCGAAUUUGAGAAUACAAUUUUCACAAUCACUAUCUUCUUAAAAUCUAUCUUAGUGAAAGCAUUUCCUCAUAGUCAUUUUCAUGAAGGAGGGAAUCUUAUGACACUUAGAUUUUAAUGGUGUAUGUGUUCCUAUCCAUGUGAAUUUGUCAAAACCAAGGUUUACGACAAAUUCAAACUCAUAUGGACCGAACUUUCUUAAUCUUGAUUUCUUGCCUUAUGGUAGCACAGCUGCCCACCAUGUCUUCCAAGUAGUUAAGCAGCUCACCCUUUCCUAUCAAUGUACCUUUCAUUGAUUAAGGUGCUUUGCCUUUUAUGCGUUCAAAAUGAGAACUCAUAGAACUCACAUGCAUAAUUAACUCAAUUGGAACGGCACAGAAACAAGAUAAUGUCAACACGAUAGGUUGUAAACCUCAACUCGUGUGCUAGUGAUGAUCGAUAAGGUUUAUUCUUGAUUAGUUCUUGAAACUUUUCAAGACCAUUAAGACUCCUACUGACUCCUUGAUACAUAAGCAUUUCUUGACAAAAAAAUAUUCAAGAGUUAGUGCAACUUUUAUCAAGAUAAAACACUUCAUAAAUUGGUCCUAGUUGGUCUUUGUCUCAUCCAAGACAUCACAACUUUCCAAUUUUAAACGUGCAAGAAUAAAAAAAAACUUUUUCCUUAUUCUACAUUUGAUGAAUGUUGUAAACCUUCUUAAGACUUGUCACUCAAUGUCACAAUCUUAACUUUAAGACUUGUUUUGGAACGAAUUAUGAUUGGCUUCUUGAUUUAACCAUUUCUUCAAUUUUCGAUUCUUCUUAGACGUACAAUUGCACUAAGACUCACUUAGAGGAUCAAUUGAGAUAUGGUUCUUAAUCAUUAAGACCCAUCAUAAAACAUAAUAAAAGGUACUCUCCCUUCUUCUUAGAAUAGAGAAACGUUUAUCUUUCUGCCUACUUGAUUCUUCUUAUUUGUUCUGCUAUUGAUUUAAACUCUUUUCAAUCAACUAAGAAUCACACUUAAUCUCAUAAGCGUAAUCAUAUUUACUUAACCUUAGUAAAUCAUGACGAAUAUCUUUGUUACUCUUGUGAUGAACUUGAUCAACACACAACCUUGUGUACUCGAUCUCCUAGUCCGUCAUUUGACACUUUGUCAAUGAAUUAGUCUAAUUUUCCCAAAUGUGAAAGUUUUUCAUUCAUCGUGCAACCAAGUUGCAUGAUUCCAAGUUUCUGUCCAAUUGAAACUUGGGCGAUGAGAAACUUUCCCUAUUUGGUAAAUUCUUGACAUUUCCACAAUUAACAUAAUUAAGAAUCACAUCCAUUCGUUGUAGAAAUAUGCAAACAUCAAUUUUUCAUAACGAUUUCAUUGCAAGGAAAUAAUAAAAUAAAUAAAUACGUCAAACAAAAUUUAUUUUAUUCAUAAAAGCAGCGGAAAACAUUUGUCCUUACAAUUCAAAUCAACUGAAAAACUAUGUAAUCAAAUAUUCCUAACAACUCUAUCAUAACUUUCAAAACUCAAAAUCUAAUCUUCAAAUCCAUUUCUUCGUGAUUAGACUCAUCUUGCUCUUUCAUCAAGCUUCCUCUCUUUUCACUGAUCCUGCAAAACAUUCAAAUGCAAUCUUAUCACAUCAUGUAUUAAGAAUCAACGAAUAGGAACUUAAUGGAGUUAGAUAGUGGAUUUUACCUGAAGCACAACCAUACUCUUUGACUCUCCCAUCUUCUGGACUCUUCAGGCUCUUAGGGCAGACUUGUAUCCAACGCCCUUUCUCUUGGCAGCAAACGCAGGUCGNNNNNNNNNNNNNNNNNNNNNNNNNNNNNNNNNNNNNNNNNNNNNNNNNNNNNNNNNNNNNNNNNNNNNNNNNNNNNNNNNNNNNNNNNNNNNNNNNNNNNNNNNNNNNNNNNNNNNNNNNNNNNNNNNNNNNNNNNNNNNNNNNNNNNNNNNNNNNNNNNNNNNNNNNNNNNNNNNNNNNNNNNNNNNNNNNNNNNNNNNNNNNNNNNNNNNNNNNNNNNNNNNNNNNNNNNNNNNNNNNNNNNNNNNNNNNNNNNNNNNNNNNNNNNNNNNNNNNNNNNNNNNNNNNNNNNNNNNNNNNNNNNNNNNNNNNNNNNNNNNNNNNNNNNNNNNNNNNNNNNNNNNNNNNNNNNNNNUAUGAAAACUCCUAGAUCCUUUGAGAUUCAUUGAACUUUCAAUGGCAUGUUUAAAUCUCGAUAUGCCCCUCUUGUUUGUGACUGGGAUGCCGAGGAUCACAAAGCGGGUGUGAAUAACCAUGCAAACUUACAUGGUGCCCUCACAUGUUACAGUCACCUAUUCGAUGUGCCGGUAAACCACACACGCUCCACCGAACUAUGACAAACAUUGAGUCACCCUUUGCUACCUUUGCUUAGAACCAUUUAGUGUGCCGGUUAACCACACACGCUCCACUAACGUCUUCGCAAGGGCACAAAGUGUAAUUUCAUGGAAUUGCAUCAAUUCACUUUUGCCUAAGUAACUAAGAUUGGGAAUUUGUAAAACAUUUAGUUACUUUUGUACUUCAUUAUACUUAUAAUGGAAGGUUUUUGUCCUAUCCUACCCGUUCGGCUAA
rnacentral:lncRNA from 1 species